rnacentral:rRNA from 1 species
GACGAACGCUGGCGGCGUGCCUAAUACAUGCAAGUUGAGCGCUGAAGGUUGGUACUUGUACCAACUGGAUGAGCAGCGAACGGGUGAGUAACGCGUGGGGAAUCUGCCUUUGAGCGGGGGACAACAUUUGGAAACGAAUGCUAAUACCGCAUAAAAACUUUAAACACAAGUUUUAAGUUUGAAAGAUGCAAUUGCAUCACUCAAAGAUGAUCCCGCGUUGUAUUAGCUAGUUGGUGAGGUAAAGGCUCACCAAGGCGAUGAUACAUAGCCGACCUGAGAGGGUGAUCGGCCACAUUGGGACUGAGACACGGCCCAAACUCCUACAGGAGGCAGCAGUAGGGAAUCUUCGGCAAUGGACGAAAGUCUGACCGAGAAACGCCGCGUGAGUGAAGAAGGUUUUCGGAUCGUAAAACUCUGUUGGUAGAGAAGAACGUUGGUGAGAGUGGAAAGCUCAUCAAGUGACGGUAACUACCCAGAAAGGGACGGCUAACUACGUG